UACACGCUGUGACUAGCAUAUCAAUAAGCGGAGGAAAAGAAACUAACAAGGAUUCCCUCAGUAACGGCGAGUGAAGCGGGAAGAGCUCAAAUUUGAAAUCUUGAAAGGUCACCUUUCACGAAUUGUAGUUUAAAGAAGUGUUUUCUGUUACGAUCGUAAUAUAAGUUCUUUGGAAUAGGACAUCACAGAGGGUGAGAAUCCCGUCUAUGAUUGCGAUUUGUAGCUUUGUGAUACACUUUCAAAGAGUCGGGUUGUUUGGGAAUGCAGCCCAAAACGGGAGGUAAAUUUCUUCUAAGGCUAAAUAUUGGCGAGAGACCGAUAGCGAACAAGUACCGUGAGGGAAAGAUGAAAAGAACUUCGAAAAGAGAGUUAAAUAGUACGUGAAAUUGUCAAAAGGGAAGCGUUUAACACCAGUGUUGUUUUCUGAAAAUCAACCUCUGUUAGCUUUAUGCAUGUUUGUUUAGACCUAAUCAGCUAUCUUUCAUGUUCUAUUGUUUGCAGUGGUGCACUUUUCAGUUUACAGGUCAACAUCAGUUUUUUUUACCGUAAAAAAGUUAAAGAAAGGUAGCUCAUGGCUCCGGUCGUGAGUGUUAUAGUCUUUUUCCUAUGCGGUAGGAGAGACUGAGGUCUGCAGUGUAGGCUAUUUGGCUAGAUACUCAGGUGUUAUGUGAUACCAUUUCAUAAACAACUUGUUGAUUAUGUUUUGUCUAUUGCAUACUCGCUUGUACUAUCAUACCUACGCUUAGGAUGUUGAGUAGCGACAUACGCAC
rnacentral:rRNA from 1 species